CUGGGGGCGGUGGGGGUGCGGGGGGAGCUGGGGGUGCUGCCGCCACCGCCUCCCCGCAGGGCUCCCGGCCUCCCGCCCCGGGCACGGAGCCCCCGGCCCCUGCUGGGCGAUGGGGACCGGGAGGCAGCCGGGGGUGUGCUGCUGGCCGGGCCCUUCGGCACCCCCGGCCCCCCCCCCGGGCAGUUCUGCCUCUUCCCGAGGGCAACGUGAGGCUCGCCUGCGCCCGGCCGUGCCCGGUGCUGGGUACACCACAACUUGGUGGCUUUGGGUGCUGGCCGGGCCGCAGGGGACUGACCUGUGUGAGCCCUGGCGUACAUCCGCUGAGGGCUGUGAAGCCUUGUGCCUGCAGAGCUGCUCACUGCCCCUCUGCUCUACCUGCGUGUAUGGUCUGGACCCAACAAAGCCCAUCAGUGCCUGCUUGGCUGGAGGUGCGUGUGUCAUCCCACUGAAACCAGAGGAGUGACAGCAGACUAUAUUAGCUGGGGUUCUGCAUUUCCUCGUCCAAAUGCUGUACGAGCCUUAAAUAAGAAGCCUGACAGCGUCUGAUUUCACUCUUUGGCAUGGUGCUUAAUGUAUGUGAGAAUUUACUUUCUGAAAACAUUUUGUGCCUUUUGGACUUGAAAUCUACUGUAAAGACACAUCGUCUUUUGCAUGAUGUAUUGUGCCCAAAAUAGCUCAGCGGUUACUACUUCCUCAUGUGACCACCAUGUAUUUAUUUCCGCUCCCUCAAUUGUAAAUUGCUUUCUGUUUUUCUUCCCUAAUCUCCUGCACUGAUGUCCAUAUUUCUUAAGAUAACAGCGAGGAGAAAAUGUCAGCAGAUUAGAUCACUAAUGUAAUCCAGCGGAUGUAAUGAGGUUAAGGGCUCUCCCCCAAACGCUGGGGCUGCCAAGCUGUAAUGAGGGCAGCAAACAAGGAAAUAAUUGAGUGAGUGGGAAAAGAAAUAGCGAAUCUUGAUCAAGUUGCAAGACAAUAAUUUGUUCACAUUGAACCAUAAUUUUUGAUCUUGGAGGAAGGUCUCGUUGCUGGGAUGGAUUUUAAAACGCAGACUGCGGAAAAUGAUGGAAGUGGAAAAUGUUCUCGGGGGCUGGGAGGCUGUUGCUCACUGCGAGGCGGGGAAUGGCUUCUUGUGGGGACGGGAUUCUUCUGGUCCCUCCUCCUGGCAGGCGAAUGGAGAGUUUCUCAAUACUGUUUACUUGAAGUAGAAUUAAAACCCAACUCAGAGGGUGUUAAUUCUCCCUGUCCCACCAGCAAUGCAGGCUGAACGCAUCCAGCACAGCAGCAGAUACGCUGUGGUCAGCAGAACGUGACAGGGCUGUGGCCAGCUGGGAUUGUCCCCGCUGCCUCCAGCCAGAGCCCAAAGCUCCCCAGAUGGCUGCGGUGGCACCGACGGCCCCGAGACCCCGCCAGCAGCACACACACGCCGUACCUUGGCUGUGGCUUGAAGAAGGCAGGAAAAUUGCCUC
rnacentral:lncRNA from 1 species